UCAUGGAAACAGACGAUGUGAUGGGUCUGCAAAUAUGCAGAGAUAAGAUGCAAAACCGCAGAUAUGGGAGUAUGUGGCACCUAUAAAAGGAGCUUUUAUAGUUAAUCUCUGGGACAUGCUGGAGAGCUAGAG